rnacentral:rRNA from 1 species
GGUUUUGAGGCUGUGUUUGGAUGUGUUGGCGAUGGGGUUGUUGUACCUUUUGCAUCAUGAUUCUCUGAUGGGGUGGUUGGCUAGGGCUGGCUGUCCGAAGAAUAGUGAUUUGGGCGGGGCUUGUUAAGGGCUGAGGGGUGUUCAGGUAGGUCUCUUUAGAGUUUUGUUCAGAGGUGAUAAAUAUGACGUACUGUUGAAUAUCUGGUUCUCGGGGGAGUUUUCGAUUUAUUCCGGUUGCUUGGAUGUGACUGGGGGGUUAAUAGGUUCGUUUUGUGUCUUAGUUUUGGAGGUUAGAGGUACCUUUAGGUUGGGAGUGUGUUAAAAAUAGUUAGUAACAGCGUUGUUCCUUUGUUUGAAGCCCUGGGUUUGGAAUUUUUUUGGUCAGUAUGGAGGAAUAAGUAGUUGAAUAGUUUCUUUUUUUCUCGAGCCUUGUCAGUCUGUUUAUUAAAAACAUUUCCAUCGUUUAAAUUUUGAUGGUAGUGCCUGCCCCAUGCUUUGGUAAAUGGCCGCAGUAUUUUGACUGUGCUAAGGUAGCAUAAUUAAUUGCCUUAUAAUUGAAGGAUUGUUUGAAUGGUUUGACUAGAUAGGGGUUUUAGAUGGGGAUUGUUCAUGAAAUUGGGUUGCCGGUGCAGAUCCCGGUGCGGGUGAGUAAGACGGAAAGACCCCGAGAGCUUUAUAGAUCUUAUUUACUUGGGGCAAGGGCAUAUUCUUCAUAUGUUUUUGGAUCCCUAUGGAGUGGAGGGUUAAGUUACCUCGGGGAUAACUAGGUAAGAAGUAAGGAGAGAUCAUAUCGAUUUAUUUGUUUGCCAUCUCGAUGUUGACUUGGGGUUAGCGGGGGGGUGUAGGAGUUCCUUCGUUUGGUCUGUUCGACCUUGGAGCCUCUCAUGAGUUGAGUUAAGACCGGCGUGAGCCAGGUCGGUUCUUAUCUAUUGGUGUUGCGGGCUAGUACGAGAGGAGUGUCUGUAGUUUAGGUU